CGGCAGGAGUCCAUGCCUCUGUUCAUCGUGGAAUUGGGUGGACAGUUAAAUGCUUUCUGGAAUUCUUCAAAGUUACUAAUUGCACCAUUGACCCUGAAAAAAGGUAUGUCAAAGCAUAUGUCAUACAAUUCUUGCACAUCAACAGGUUCUGUAUAAAACUAUAGCAGAAUAUUGCUAAAAAGAAUGUUGCCAUUCUUUUAAUCUAUUUACAGGGAGACAACUAAAGCCCAAAAUGAUUAAGUAAAUUUCCAAAAAAAAACGAACAGACUAGAGCCAGCAUCUCCUGAAUGCCAAGCAAAUGCCCCAUUACUCUUCCAACAGUCUUCAAAUUCUUAUAAAACUGUAUUGUCACCAAUAUUAGUUUUUCUAACUUUUUAAAAACUUUAUGGAAAAUAUAACUGACAUAAAGUAUACAAAAUAUUACUUGUAGAACUUGACAGUUUUUUGUGUGUAUGUGCCCGUAUUACUACCUGCCAGAUCAAGACAUUCCAGCACCCAGUAGGCUCCCGCCUGUUCCAUACCAACAGCGUCUCCAAAGAUAACUACUAUUCUGACUUCUAUUGCCAUAGCUUUGCCUUUGAAGAUUUUGAACUUCAUGUGAAUGAAAUCCACGAAAAUUUCUGUCAACCUAUAGGACCGAGUACAGGGUGACUACAGAAAAUUUCUGUCAACCUAUAGGACCGAGUACAGGGUCUUCUCAUUUAUUGAUUGCUGUACUAAGUAUUUGAAACUGACACUAGCAGCAGGGAUAUUCAGCCCAGUCCUGGGAGCAUGGUCCAAGGACCACAUUUCAAGAAUCACAGCACUAGAGCACAUUCCAGGAGCAAAGGUCAUGGUCACAGGUAUGCAUGGACAUCUGCAGCUUUUUGAGAUAUUGUCAAAUUGCCCUGCAAAGUGGAUGAGCCAAUCUAUCUUGCCACCAGCAAUGAGUGUGUGUCCUUAUUGCCAAGGUUGGAUGCUGUCAGACUUUUUAUUUGUGCCAAACAGAUCUUAAUAA